GCGGCACGCCUAACACAUGCAAGUCCGAACGAAGUUAGCAAUACUUAGUGGCAGACGGGUGAGUUAACAUGUGGGUUAUCUACCCUUUUGGCCUGGAAUAACACGAGGAAACUUGUGCUAAUACCGGAUAAGUCUUUACGGAGAAAGCUUUAUGCACCAUUGGAUGAGCCUGCACUUGAUUAGUUUGUUGGUGGGGUAAUGGCCUACCAAGACUGUGAUCAAUAGCUGAUUUGAGAGGAUGAUCAGCCACAUUGGGACUGAGACACGGCCCAAACUCCUACGGGAGGCAGCAGUGGGGAAUCUUGCACAAUGGAGGAAACUCUGAUGCAGCGAUGCCGCGUGAGUGAAGAAGGCCUUUGGGUUGUAAAGCUCUUUCGUCGGGGAAGAAAAUGACUGUACCCGAAUAAGAAGGUCCGGCUAACUUCGUGCCAGCAGCCGCGGUAAUACGAAGGGACCUAGCGUAGUUCGGAAUUACUGGGCUUAAAGAGUUCGUAGGUGGUUGAAAAAGUUGGUGGUGAAAUCCCAGAGCUUAACUCUGGAACUGCCAUCAAAACUUUUCAGCUAGAGUUUGAUAGAGGAAAGCAGAAUUUCUAGUGUAGAGGUGAAAUUCGUAGAUAUUAGAAAGAAUACCAAUUGCGAAGGCAGCUUUCUGGAUCAUUACUGACACUGAGGAACGAAAGCAUGGGUAGCGAAGAGGAUUAGAUACCCUCGUAGUCCAUGCCGUAAACGAUGUGUGUUAGACGUUGGAAAUUUAUUUUCAGUGUCGCAGCGAAAGCGAUAAACACACCGCCUGGGGAGUACGACCGCAAGGUUAAAACUCAAAUGAAUUGACGGGGACCCGCACAAGUAGUGGAGCAUGUGGUUUAAUUCGAAGAUACGCGCAGAACCUUACCAACACUUGACAUGUUCGUCGCGACUUUAAGAGAUUAAAGUUUUCGGUUCGGCCGGACGAAACACAGGUGCUGCAUGGCUGUCGUCAGCUCGUGUCGUGAGAUGUUGGGUUAAGUCCCGCAACGAGCGCAACCCUCACUUUUAGUUGCCAUCAUUAAGUUGGGCACUCUGAAAGAACUGCCAGUGAUAAGCUGGAGGAAGGUGGGGAUGACGUCAAGUCCUCAUGGCCCUUACGUGUUGGGCUACACACGUGCUACAAUGGUAUCUACAACAGGAAGCAAGACGGCGACGUUAAGCAAAUCCUUAAAAGAUACCUCAGUUCGGAUUGCACUCUGCAACUCGAGUGCAUGAAGCUGGAAUUACUAGUAAUCGUGGAUCAGCGUGCCACGGUGAAUGCGUUCCCGGGUCUUGUACACACCGCCCGUCACACCAUGGGAAGUUGGUUCUACCUUAAGGCAAAGGUUUCAAACCCUUGACCACGGUA
rnacentral:rRNA from 1 species